CCUACGGGAGGCAGCAGUCGGGGAUAUUGCACAAUGGGGGAAACCCUGAUGGUGCGACGCCGCGUGGGUGAAGGAGUAUUUCGGUAUGUAAAGCUCUAUUAGCAGGGAAGAAAAUGAAAGUAACUGACCAAGAAGCCCAGGCUAACUACGAGCCAGCAGCCGCGGUAAUACGGAGGGGGCAAGCGUUAUCCGGAUUUACUGGGCGUAAAGGGAGCGUAGACGGUUGCGUAAGUCUGGAGUGAAAGCCCGGGGCCCAACCCCGGGACGGCUUAGGAAACUGUGUAACUGGAGUACAGGAGGGGCAAGCGGAAUUCCUGGUGUAGCGGUGAAAGGCGUAGAUAUCAGGAGGAACACCGGCGGCGAAGGCGGCCUGCUGGACUGUAACUGACGUUGAGGCUCGAAAGCGUGGGGAGCAAACAGGAUUAGAUACCCUUGUAGUC
rnacentral:rRNA from 1 species